rnacentral:rRNA from 1 species
GACGAACGCUGGCGGCGUGCUUAACACAUGCAAGUCGAACGCUGAAGCUCAGCUUUUGUUGGGUGGAUGAGUGGCGAACGGGUGAGUAACACGUGAGUAACCUGCCUCCUUCUUUGGGAUAACGCCCGGAAACGGGUGCUAAUACUGGAUAUUCACUGGUCUUCGCAUGGGGGUUGGUGGAAAGGGUUUUUCUGGUGGGGGAUGGGCUCGCGGCCUAUCAGCUUGUUGGUGGGGUGAUGGCCUACCAAGGCUUUGACGGGUAGCCGGCCUGAGAGGGUGACGGGUCCAAUGGGGACGGGGAAACGCCCCAGACCCCUCCGGGAGGCAGAAGGGGGGAAUAUGGCACAAUGGGCGAAAGCCGGAUGCGGCGGCGCCGCGGGGGGUAUGGGGGCCUUGGGGUUGUGAACCUUUUGCGCUCAGGGUCAACCCCCAACAAUGGUUGGGGUGGGGGUAGUGGGGAAAGAAGCCCCGGCUAACUACGU